AAUAUGAAAAUAAGGCUGAAAAAGUACUGAUUCCACCAAAACCAAUGGAAAUGGGUUCUGCAAAUGCAAGAGUUCUGAUUCCCCAUCUUCCAUUUCCUUCUUCUUCCUCUCAUGAUCCUUCAACAAAUCCUAACCCUAAGCCUUCAAAGCCACUCUCAUUUUCUGACCAUUAUCGAUUACCGACCAGACGUUUGAUGCUCUUCUCCCUCCCCUUGCCCACUCCAUCCGAUUCAACCGAGAUCUUGCGAUGUGAGUUCUUCUGCAAGAGAGAAGCGAGUGCUGCCAUUUUUCGAGGAGUAUCGGAACCUGGGGAGCUUCUUGAUAGAGGCAGGGAGUUGCAAGCUCUUGGCGAUUUCAAUCAAACUCUUCUCUGCUUCACUGUGAAGAGCAUGCGGCAAUGGAUGCAGCUUUAUGCGUGGAUGUUCAUGCUCCAUUGCUGGCUGAAAAUCAAUUCACCAUUACCACUUUGCUUGAUUCUCAUUAUGUGAAUAUCUCAUAUGUGAAAGAAACAAAGCACUGACCUCCCUCCUAGUUUGAUUAGUUCAUUGCAACAGUUCUGUACACUUUCUUAGACAUCUAUAAGAAUUUGUAUGCAUAAAAAGCUCUGUAAGUGGACAAAUUUUUUAGCACUCGGCUGGAUGAUAAUGGAGGCUUCAAAAUUUUCCUCCUUUUAUCUUAAAUGUUGAUUGGUUCCUACUAAGAAAAGGGAAGUCACCAUUUAAAAAGGUGACACUGCACUGAUUUUAUACUUGUGCAUUAACUUUCUAAUGGCGAGACCACAAUUGUUCUAAAGUUCUUGUAGGUCUUUUGUGGGUCCUCAUAUUAAUAGAAAUUGCUCUUUUACGACAAUUCGGGUGUUCAUAGAAUUCUUUCAUUCAUGCAAUUUCCCUCACUUUUUCAAGAAAGUUCACAGCAAAGUUUUUGCUUCAAGUAACUUUUGGUUUGUAAAACCACAGCCUUCUCAAUUAUUUACUGUUCUGAUGUUUGUAUUGGCAAGGAAAAGUCCCAUCACAAGUACCUGUCGGAGCUGCAAUUCCAACAAAUGGAGAAACAUGCUGGGUCUGAUGUGCUUUCAUUCAAGCAAAAUGCCAUUGCUGACAGGCCAAGCAGGAAGUGCUUCCAGCAAACUGAGUGGGCCAUCAACCAUGUGCCCUGCCCCUGUCUUUCUAAAUCACAUGUUCAGGCUGUUAUUUGGCAUUGGAGACUUGAUCCACACAUCAUCAACGGCUGUGAUUCUGCUUCAGGUUCACUCAAUCUAAUCUGCUUUAAUGAUUUGACGAUGUAUCCUAAUAGAUUUUGCAGGCUACAUAAUGUAAAGCAAAAGAAGAAAACAAACGGACGGCCCCAUCAAGGCUGUGAGGGAUAUAAUAUCAUUAUUACACCUUA